AUGGACCUUGGGCGCCUGAACUAUGGGAUCAUUACACUCAUCCGAUAGGUCCCCGGGGCCUCGGACAUUCGCCAGUUCCGCCCGAUCACGGUGAUUAACGUGAUCUUCAGGAUCCUGGCUAAAGGGUACGCCAAUAGGGUGACCCUUCUAGCGGACUCUAUCACCCACCCCAACCAAUCCGCCUUCAUCCAAGGCCGGUUUAUUUUGGAUGGGGUGUUGGUCUUUCACGAAGUCCUCCAUGAAGUCCGAUCCAAACACCACCACGCGGUUUUCCUUAAGCUCGACUUUCACAAGGUCUACGACACUGUCCACUGGCCCUUCCUUCGGGAAGUUUUG
rnacentral:rRNA from 1 species